UAGCUCACUGGUCGAGAGGUCCUGCGCCGAAAAUGUCCGGGGCUGAAACGCGCCACCGAAACUAAGGAACCGAAAGGUUGGUAGAGGAGCAUUGCAUGCGGGAAGAAGCAGUACCGUAAGGAGCUGUGGACUGCAUGGAAGAGAGAAUGCCGGAAUGAGUAGCGAGAAUAAGGUGGGAAUCCUUAUGGCCGAAUAUCCAAGGUUUCCAGAGUAAAGCUGAUCUGCUCUGGGUAAGUCGGGGCCUAAGGCGAGGACGAGAGUCGUAGCCGAUGGACAACAGGUGGAGAUUCCUGUACUGCGGUAUGACAGAACUGUGGGGACACGUAAGGAAAGCGGAAGCCGGGAAUGGAAAGUCCGGUGCAAGCGGGGUACCAGUCACUUUGGCAAAUCCGGGUGGCAAUGGGAAGCCGUGAUGCGGAGCGAAAUAAAGUAGUGAAGUCCGUGAGCCAUGCGUCAAGAAAAGCCGCUAUUGUUUAUACCGUACCCGUACCGUAAACCGACACAGGUGGAUGAGGAGAGAAUCCUAAGGCCGGCGGAAGAAGCAUUGUCAAGGAACUCGGCAAAAUGGCCCCGUAACUUAGGGAUAAGGGGUGCCUGGGAAACCAGGCCGCAGAGAAUAGGCUCAAGCAACUGUUUAGCAAAAACACAGGUCUAUGCGAAACCGAAAGGUGAGGUAUAUGGGCUGACGCCUGCCCGGUGCUGGAAGGUUAAGAGGAGAGGUUAGCGGUAACGCGAAGCUUUGAAUUUAAGCCCCAGUAAACGGCGGCCGUAACUAUAACGGUCCUAAGGUAGCGAAAUUCCUUGUCGGGUAAGUUCCGACCCGCACGAAAGGCGUAAUGAUUUGAGCGCUGUCUCGACAAUGCAUCCGGUGAAAUUGAAGUACCAGUGAAGAUGCUGGUUACCUGCGCCAGGACGGAAAGACCCCAUGGAGCUUUACUCCAGUCUGGUACUGGGACUCGGUAUUGCAUGUACAGGAUAGGUGGGAGGCUAGGAGAUGGUAACGCCAGUUGCCAUGGAGCCGCUGUUGGGAUACCACCCUUGCAGUAUUGGGUUUCUAACCAGCCGCCGUGACCCGGCGGUGGGACAAUGCCAGACGGGGAGUUUGACUGGGGCGGUCGCCUCCGAAAGGGUAUCGGAGGCGCCCAAAGGUUCCCUCAGAAUGGACGGAAACCAUUCGAAGAGUGCAAAGGCAGAAGGGAGCUUGACUGCGACACCGACGGGUGGAGCAGGUACGAAAGUAGGGCUUAGUGAUCCGGUGGUAUUAAGUGGGAAUGCCAUCGCUCAACGGAUAAAAGCUACCCUGGGAUAACAGGCUUAUCACUCCCAAGAGUUCACAUCGACGGAGUGGUUUGGCACCUCGAUGUCGGCUCAUCGCAUCCUGGGGCUGUAGUAGGUCCCAAGGGUUGGGCUGUUCGCCCAUUAAAGCGGUACGCGAGCUGGGUUCAGAACGUCGUGAGACAGUUCGGUCCCUAUCCGGCGUGGGCGUAGGAUAUCUGAGAGGAGCUGUCCUUAGUACGAGAGGACCGGGAUGGACGGGCCGCUGGUGCAUCGGUUAGACUGCCAAGUCUACGGCCGAGUAGCCAAGCCCGGAAGGGAUAAACGCUGAAGGCAUCUAAGCGUGAAGCCCCCCUUAAGAUGAGAUAUCCCAUUCGUUAAGAAGUAAACCCCCUUGAAGACGACGAGGUAGAUAGGGCAGAGGUGGAAGUGCAGCAAUGUAUGGAGCUGACUGUUACUAAUCGGGUGAGGGCUUGACCU
rnacentral:rRNA from 1 species